UUUCAGCGAGCCCAGCCACAGCGGCCGCGCGGCAUCGCGAUCCCGGCCGUAGGUGGCCAUCAGCGCCUGCGCCUC
rnacentral:antisense_RNA from 1 species